AAAGAAAAAAGGAAUGGAGACUCUGGCUAAAUGGAUUGACAAAAUAUAUAACCACUUCUGGUAUUGCUGUGAAACGUGAUGAGAAAGAGGAAUUACUUAAAAGUAAAUGGAUUAGUAUACUUCAUCAUAUUCAAGAUGAACAUGACUGGAUUACUGGUAAAUGUGAUCAUAUAGAUGAGAAUGAAGGAGAUAAAUCAAAAGAGGCACCUACAGAUUCUGAUGGGAAUGUUAUUCCAUAUCUCGAUAGUUGUGGGCAGGAAAUCGAGGCACUAAAGAAUUUGGUGUUGGACAAGAAAUGGAUAGAAUCUCUAAAAUAUUAUGUACGAUUUAGGCAUAAUGGAGUUUUAGAAGCAUUUCAUAACUUGAUCUUAUCCUACUGUGACAAAAGAACAUCAUUUAAGGAUGAAGGAUAUCGAUUACGUAUCUUUCUGGCUGCAAUAGAUCACAAUAGCCAUUUGGGGAGGAAACAGGCAGUUAAUGAAUUUGGUGAACCAAGAAG